rnacentral:misc_RNA from 1 species
GGACGGAGUGCAACGCAGCUAGCGCUCGCCUAUCCCAUCGCCACCCCCACACGCAUAGACAACGAUAUUAGAUACACGUCCAUAGACUACCUGCCGUCGUUCAGGUCCCUCUUCCCUGUGCCUUCUGCGCCCCCACACACACGCACACACACGUGCGCGCGCCCCCCCCUCUUCAUCAGUGCCGGCGCAGCACCAGCUCUGGUUCACAGUCAAACCUCGCGUCUUUCCGUUCUGUUCCUCUUCGCGGCUCACCCCUGCCUCAGCAAGAGCACCACCCUCAGCCCCACCCCCACCCCUCUGCCACCAUGGCGGCUGUUGCGAUGCGCGCGCCAAAGCCGAAGAUGACGAUGAGCGCCGUCCAGGGCAGGAUCUCCGUCUUUGCCGAGGAUGGCGAGCGGAUUGGCCAGUGGGGCGGCACCGAGUGCUUCCUCUCUCGCCAAAGCGGUCUCGGGCCCUGCCUCGUCGUUCGCUCCAGCCGGCACAAGAAGCACGAGGGCACCUUCUUCCAGCUAGUGCGGUUGCAGCGGGUCGUGUCGACGGGCGUGGCACAAGGACGACUGACGGUGAUGGUGCCGCAUGAGAAGCGGCAGUGCAGCGUGUUCAUCGACACGACCGAGGACUUGGAUGAGCUGCGCAUGAUGGCCGGAGUGCUGCAGGACAGGGCGCGGUGGAAGGACAUGGAGCGCAACGUGGCGAGCAGAAGCCGCAAGGAUCUGCAGCGUGGCGGAAAAGGGGGCGGUGGUGAUCGAGGCAGCCGCGGGUUGCGGGACCCCGGUCUUGCGCAGCUGUCGGGCAGCUGCGUGGACAACGAUGAUGACUACGACACUUCCGGCGAGGAGACGAGCAAGUCUCAUCACGACAACGGCACCGCCGCCGUCAGCGCAGCACAGGAGGACCCAUUCGCUGCGCGCUCAAUGGUGGAAUCGCCUACGCCCAUGACGUCGUCGCAGUCUUCCGUGCCACAGAGGAGCACGAUGGUAGCUGGCGGCAGCAGCAGCCGUAGCAGCGGCCCUACCACGUCACUGACGGCGGCCCAGCAGCAGCGGUUGAACUGGACGAGUGAGCAGCAACGCGCGGUCCAGCUUGUGCGCGCCGGCCACAACGUCUUUGUGAGCGGUGCUGCUGGGACGGGCAAGACGGAAUGGCUGCUGCACGUCUUGCAGCACGUCCUACCUCGCACGCGGCAGCACCGUGGUGCGAAGGGUAAGGCCGAUCUGGGGGCUGAAGACGAGGAGCAGGAACACGCGGUGGAGACUGGGCGAGUUGCAGUGACUGCCGCCACCGGCAUCGCCGCUCGACUCAUCGGCGGCAAAACGGUGCACGCCUUCUCUGGCAUCGGCCGCGGCGAGGGCGACCCAGACGCGAUCCUGCAGCGCGUGCAGAGCAAGCCAGACGUCGUGCGGGCGUGGCAGCGGUGCGAGGUGCUCGUCAUUGACGAGAUCAGCAUGCUCUCCUCGCACACAUUCGCCCUGCUCGACCGCGUCGCACGCGUGCUGCGAGCUCCGCUGGCGCCCCCCGCCUCCUCCUCGCAGCGGCGACAGAGAACGAGCAACGCGGCACUGCCAUUUGGUGGUAUUCAGCUGCUGGUGGUUGGCGACUUUCUGCAACUGCCGCCGGUGUCGCGUGGCGCUGGCGAGGAGGUGCAGCCCGCCUUCAUGGCUGCUGUGUGGCGUGCCUGUGCUUUUCAGCAACUUGUCUUCACGAAGGACUACCGUCAUGCCGAGGACCCACGCUUCGCCGAGUGCUGCGCGGCGGUGCGGCGAGGCGAAUGCACGCUGCUGGUGCGGCAGGUGCUCGAGGCGUGUUUGGGACGCAAACUGGAGGAACGCUUCGGCGUCGAGGCCACCACUUUGCUCGCGCGCCGCAACGACGUGGACCGCUACAACGCACAGCGGCUGCAGCAACUGGAGUCGAUGCAGUUCCAGCGCUACGCCUCCGAGGACUAUGCCGCCGUCCCUGGCACCGACAUCGAUGCCGAGGUUUCGCUGCCCUCUGUGCUAACCUUGAAGGUGGGUGCGCAGGUGGUGCUUCUCGCAUCCCUGCCGAACGAGCCGAGCCUGGCCAACGGCGACCUUGGUCUCGUUGGGGGCUUCGUCGCACAGGCGCAUGGUCCCGCGUUGCCGCUCGUCCGUUUCUCCACCGGCGUAGAAGCUGUCGUGCCCGCCAUCACGAUGGAGGUGCAUGGGCGAGACGGCCGCCUCAGCCUAUCCAGGCGUCAAGUGCCGCUGCAGCUGGCCUGGGCGCUGACGGUGCACCGAGUUCAGGGCAUGACGCUGCCCAUGGUCCGCCUGGCACUGGACAAGUCAUUCUUCGAGGCGGGGCAGGCGUACGUGGCGCUGUCGCGAGUGCGCAAAGCAGAGGACUUGAGCUUGACAGCGCUGGACCUGGACGUCGUCGCCGCGUGCGUGUCGGCGGAGGCGCGAGACUUCUACGGUCUGGGCACGGUCACGUCGGCGCCGUCCUCGCAGCCUGUCACAACCAGGACUGGCAGCUCCCCUCCUCUCGAGUCGGCGCUGUCGCGGGAAAGAGAUACCGCGUGCGCGAAGGGGUCACUACUCACCGACGGCGUCUUUGGCAGCGGUGUGCCUUUUAGCCUGGCGGAUAUCGAGGGUGGUGGCAGCCGUGUUACUGCCACCCGGAAGCGGGCCAAAACGGAGGAGGGGUAGUCUCUCCUCACGUCAAGCGCGUGGCACACGUGGCUGUGAGUGGGGAGAGGGGGAGGGGGUUCGGAGAGAGGUGCACGCACGCGCGUAUGCCAUCGCCCCGCAGCGGCGGCUCGGCAAUGUGGCGGAGCAAGAGUGAAUGCCUAGCCAUAUACGCAUAUGCAGAUGCUAGCAUAGAAAGAGAGACGUGCAGGCUGCCCAUGUUAUGGAUACGAGCCCUUUCCAAGCCGUAGCAGAGAGAGGGAAGGCACAGCGGGUCUCCUCAAGCGCAUGCACACGCGUGCGGCCGUACUCGAGCCCAUGCGCAGACGCCGACAAAGGAAGAAAGCAUCCGCCAAAAGAAAAAACACGAGAACACAUGAGAGAGGAAUGUGCCCCCCCCCUCCCUUCUCUCUCUCUCUCUCGCUCUGUGAUGGGUUGUGCGCGCAUGCUGUCGGAUGACGCGGCUGCACACGUUGCUGGAGAGGAGAGGGGUGAGGAGCCGGAGACACAAUACAAAGCUGCCCACGCCCGCAUCAUGUGAACUGCGACGGGUCACGUAGCGGAGUACGCAUCUGUAUCGCCCCCGUAUAGUGACUGGUAUGUAUGUAUGUCAUUUCCUUCUCCGUACGCUCCGCUGCCACCCCCGCCCCGUGCACAUCGACCCACCCCCACCACCACGCACACGCACGCACGUGAUUUCCGCGUCGCGGCACAUCAUAUUCACUGGACUCUGUAG